UACGUAGGUGGCAAGCGUUGUCCGGAAUUAUUGGGCGUAAAGCGCGCGCAGGCGGUCCUUUAAGUCUGAUGUGAAAGCCCACGGCUCAACCGUGGAAGGUCAUUGGAAACUGGGGGACUUGAGUACAGAAGAGGAAAGCGGAAUUCCACGUGUAGCGGUGAAAUGCGUAGAGAUGUGGAGGAACACCAGUGGCGAAGGCGGCUUUCUGGACCAAUACUGACGCUCAUGCACGAAAGCGUGGGGAGCAAACAGG
rnacentral:rRNA from 1 species